AUUGAACGCUGGCGGCAUGCCUUACACAUGCAAGUCGAACGGUAACAGGUCUUCGGAUGCUGACGAGUGGCGAACGGGUGAGUAAUACAUCGGAACGUGCCUAGUAGUGGGGGAUAACUACUCGAAAGAGUGGCUAAUACCGCAUGAGAUCUACGGAUGAAAGCAGGGGAUCGCAAGACCUUGUGCUACUAGAGCGGCCGAUGGCAGAUUAGGUAGUGGGUGGGAUAAAAGCUUACCAAGCCGACGAUCUGUAGCUGGUCUGAGAGGACGAUCGGCCACGCUGGGACUGGGACACGGCCCAGACUCCUACGGGAGGCAGCAGUGGGGAAUUUUGGACAAUGGGCGCAAGCCUGAUCCAGCAAUGCCGCGUGCAGGAUGAAGGCCUUCGGGUUGUAAACUGCUUUUGUACGGAACGAAAAGCCCUGGGUUAAUACCCUGGGGUCAUGACGGUACCGUAAGAAUAAGCACCGGCUAACUACGUGCCAGCAGCCGCCGUAAGAC
rnacentral:rRNA from 1 species